GGGAAGCUCGACGCAUGCUUCUUUCCUUAAUGUUGCUCGGCUCGGGGGAUUCAAGUGUUGCACGGUGUUUAGUGGCUCGCGUUAGAUCUCCGUUGAUCAUUCUAGCCGGCUCGUGGAUCGCGUGCGAUCCGUGAAUCACGGGUGGAUCGCGUUUCAAACAUUUUCGUCGACCGUCAGCCUCUCGGCAUCCCGUGAGUGUGUGAUCCCGUUUUCAACCGGCGCGCUUGUGAAACUUCCAAAGGACAUCCCUUUCCUGACUCCUUUCUUCUGGUUUCGCCCGUACAAAGAGCUUGUGAGACGAUUUCGUAAGCUGUGAUUUUGCAUGACCUCGGUUCCACGAGUUAUAAUUGACUUCUAUUUAAAGCUAUGGAUGAUGAGGUUAUCGGUGGAGGCCAAAAUAGCAAGAGAUCACCAAUGACCCUAAACGUCAGUGGGCUAUGGGAUGUCGUUCCUCGGUUAGAUCAUUACAGAUUGAGUCGCCGUGCUAAGAGACCAUCGCUAAGCACUCUACAUGAAGGGAAUCUUAUAAAGGACACGAAUAUAGAGGCUGGUCAAGUUGGAACGACACAGCAAGGACACACAGGAAUAAAACUAGGAUGGAUCCAGGGUGUCCUUAUACCAUGUCUGCUCAAUAUAUGGGGUGUAAUGCUUUUCCUACGACUGUCGUGGGUGGUCGCACAGGCUGGCAUACUGCAGAGCGUUAUCAUUAUCGGAAUAUCAGCGGCUGUCUGCGUCAUCACAACGCUUAGCCUCAGUGCAAUUAGUACUAAUGGAGAAGUAAAGGGAGGUGGUAUAUACUUCAUCAUAUCACGAACCCUGGGGCCGGAAUUCGGAGCUUCUGUGGGCAUUGUUUUCGCAUUUGCAAACGCUGUUUCGGCUUCGAUGAACACCAUUGGUUUCUGUGACUCCCUGAACGAUUUGCUACGGGAGCACAACUUGACUAUCAUCGACAAUGGAGUGAACGAUGUCCGAAUUGUGGGCACAAUCGCGCUAAUCGUUAUGAUCAUGAUUUGCGCAGUCGGGAUGGAAUGGGAGUCAAAGGCACAAAAUUUCCUCAUAGCCAUCAUUGUUGCAGCUAUUUUUGAUUUUAUAAUUGGCGCUAUCAUAGGACCUAAGGAUAUAACUCAGGAAGCCCAAGGAUUUCUUGGUUUCUCCACGGACGUUUUUAUGAAGAACAUGGGUCCGGAUUAUCGGUUUUCCGAGAACAGCAAUCAAACGUUCUUCUCUGUAUUUGCCAUUUUCUUUCCGUCCGUAACUGGAAUUCAAGCUGGUGCCAACAUUUCCGGCGAUCUGAAAGAUGCAGCAAGCAGUAUACCGAUUGGAACCCUCCUCGCGUUACUAAUUUCGAUGCUGAGUUACGUCACUUUCGUCCUCUUUGCCGGUGGCGCGGCUUCGAGGGAUGCUAGUGGCCUUGUCGGUGCAAAUAAUACUUUUAUAGACUGCAUUCCACACGUCAAGUGCACUUAUGGAUUGCACAACAGUUAUUCGGUGAUGCAGCUUAUGUCAGUUUGGGGUCCACUUAUCUACGCCGGUUGCUUUGCCGCAACUCUCUCUACAGCUUUAACUAAUUUACUAUCGGUUCCACGAUUAAUACAGGCAUUAGGACAAGACAGAAUUUAUCCCGGUUUGAUAUAUUUUAGCAAAGGCUACGGAAAACAUGGUGAACCUUACCGUGGAUAUGUCCUCACGUUCUUUGUUGCAGCAUUAUUCCUUUUAAUAGCAAACUUGAACGCGGUAGCUCCUCUGAUUUCAAACUUCUACCUGGCGUCGUACGCGUUAAUUAAUUUCUGCACGUUUCACGCGGCAUUUAUCCGACCACUUGGAUGGCGACCUACCUUUAGAUUUUACAAUACCUGGUUGUCUUUAUUCGGCUUCAUUACCUGCGUGUCCAUAAUGUUCCUCAUUGAUUGGGUAACAUCGCUUGUCACAUUUGUUAUCAUCUUCGCGUUAUAUCUGAUAGUGGUCUAUCGAAAACCAGAUGUGAAUUGGGGCAGUAGCACACAAGCUCAGACCUACAAGACUGCACUCUCUAUCGUUUAUCGAUUGAAUUCCAUCGACGAACACGUGAAAAAUUAUGCUCCUCAAAUAUUGGCGUUGACCGGACUUCCUGGCGCUAGGCCAGCGUUACUACAUCUGGCAAAUCUCAUCACGAAAAACCAUUCGCUGCUAAUUUCCGGCGAAAUAUAUCCGACUCGUUUAUCUUACCGUUUACGAUCAGUGAGAUUGAGAAAUGGUUAUACAUGGUUAAAUCAACAACGUAUCAAGUCGUUCUAUCAUGUGGUGGAGGAUUUGAGUUUCGAACGGGGCGCAUCGGCCUUGAUGCAAGCAACAGGCGUUGGAAAAUUGGCACCAAAUGUAGUUCUAAUGGGCUACAAAACGCACUGGUCGACAUGCAACCACAAGGAUCUUCAAGAAUAUUUUAAUGUUCUUCAUAACGCGUUUGAUCAAAAACUAGCGGUAGCAAUGUUACGUAUUGCAGAAGGUUUGGAUUGUUCCGAAGUUGCAACUGCGAACGGCGAUGAAGAACACGGCGCUCUAGCACAGAGUAGCUACGAUUUAACAGGAAGCACUUUGAUGCACGUGGACAGCAAUUUGUCUAUGUCCAGUCAGAUUCCAAGAGUUCAGAGUGUGCCAACUAUGGGAACUCAAUUCGUUCCUAUAGAUGGACCACAAAUAAUCAGGGAUUCGCCUACUCAUGAAAGCGCUCGAGACCACUUGAAACAGAAAAGAAAAUAUGCGAUAGAUAAACUAAUAGAGAAACGACAUACUAUGACAGCUGUCCCUGAACGCUUAGCGAUCUUCCAAAGGAAACACAAAAACGGCACGAUCGAUGUCUGGUGGCUAUAUGACGACGGAGGUUUGACGAUUCUUUUGCCAUAUAUUAUUAGUACACGCUCGAAUUGGGAGCAUUGUAAAAUGAGGAUUUUCGCGUUAGCCAACCACAAACAAGACAUCGUGGCACAAGAAAAAGAGAUGGCCGAGAUCAUGACUAAAUUCAGGAUAAGAUAUACCAGUUUGAAAAUGGUAGACGACAUUAGCGUUCAACCAAAACAAGAAACGCAAGAUUUCUUUGAUAAGCUAAUAUCUAAUUUCCGAAAGAAUGAUCCUGGUGAUACAGAGUGUUGCGUGACAGAUCUUGAACUUCAGUCUUUGAAAGACAAGACACAUAGGCAGUUAAGACUGCGAGAGUUAUUAUUGGAAAAUUCCAGUCAAUCCAAGUUGGUUGUAAUGUCACUACCUAUGCCACGAAAGGGUGCCGUUUCAGCCCCGCUUUAUAUGGCAUGGCUAGAAGCUCUAACCAAAGAUAUGCCACCGACACUUUUAAUACGUGGAAAUCACACUUCAGUGUUAACGUUUUACUCGUAGUUCACCGAUAUUAUUGUAAACAAUAAUAUAAUUUUAACGUCUAGAUGAAUUUAUGUUGAAUAGCAUCACGAACAAAUUAUUCAUCAACGUCAAGCCCAAUAGUACUUAACGAAGAGUUUAUUUUAGCGUAGAAAUGAAAGACAACAGUAUAAGAACUUCAAUAAACGAUAGUGUCGUAGUUUCGAUACUAAUAGGACUUCAGCGCGCUCUAAUGAAAAAGCACACAAUGCAAACUACUGGAGAGCGUAUUGUGGUUUUCGACGAGUAGUUAUUUUAUUUUGUUAGUGAUAAAUGACUUUUAUAUCGCGCGUACAUAUUAGAUAUAAUGCUAGAAAUAUAUUAUUGACAAAGUAGAAUGCAAUAGAGAGACUAGAUGUUUGAUUGAACACGAUAAAUAUCUUAAGCACAAGUUGGACUUAAUGACAUGUAA
rnacentral:misc_RNA from 1 species